GGCCAAACAGACUCUAACUCCUCUCCCCGAGCUCCUCUCCUCCUCAAUUUUUGAAUCGGCGAGAUUUUUUUGCGGAGCGCCUCUCCGCCGGGAGAGCCUUCUCUUCGGCUUUUGUUUUGCAAGACCAAAGGCUACUCUUCAAAUUGGCAUUAGAAUGGCCAUUGAUUUGUGAUGGAGUGCAUUUGAAAAGGGAAGCAAAGAGUAACUUGGUUCCCAUCCAAAUUUCAGGAAGCCAAUGCUAGUGCUCUAAGACCCCAAAAGUUAAUGCAGGAACUGAUUCGCUCAACAUAACGCAAUGAGAUCCUCUUCUGCUUCUUCUUCUUCUUCCUUGCAGCUCGAUUCCUCCAACAACAGAAUCUUCUGGGGCUGCUUCUUUGUCACAAUAGGCUCCGUCUUCUUUGUGGGAUUUCUCUUCGCUGCCGUCAUUUCCAAGCUUCUUCCUCCAUCCAAUAACACCCUGAUAUCCGCCAUUCAAAAUGACUGGUAUUACUGCUUCUUAGUGCCUCUGACACUCCCUGUCCUUGUGGUUGCUGUAUAUUUCCAUUGGCUCAGCAUGAAAAUGUUCAAGCAUGCGUGAUUUUUUCUUGAGCCCAUCAGGUCUGGAGCCUCUCUGCUUACUUAUACUACUUUAGAAGAAUAAGUAACUAAAAAGUGUGUUUACUUAUUGCCUUUACAAGAUGUUUUGGAGACCUUCAGAUUCUACAACCUUCCCAAGUAUCUUUUUUCGUUUGGCCUUUGCCCCAACAUUUUGUCAAACACAUGCAUUACUGGUACAUUUCCUUAUUUGCACAUCACCCAUCAACUGUUGACACUCACAAUUGUCAUGUCUGUUCCUCCCAUCCUACCACAGAAAAGCAAGACCUGCUUUCAGAUUCUAUUCCCAAUUUUUUUCUUGUGUACUGUCCAACGAUGUGCUAUGGGAUAAAUUUUCUUCUGGGUCAAUAUUCCACAACAUGGGCCUUCUUCUUGGCAAGAAGUAUUGCAGCAGGAUGAAGGUUAGGAGGAUUUGACAGGCAUUAUUAUGCCAUGAAGAUUUCUAAGGUUUAGAGGCUUGCGAGCGCGCUCAUACAUUCAACAAUAUGGAUCAAAGGAUGUUUAAGCAUUCCCCUUCCAUCAACUUCAAAUAUUCAGUUGCUGCUCCUACCUUGGAUAUCUUUUGGUGCAAUUGCAUCCACAAUAUACUAGGUCUACAGGUGAUUCUCCACUUGCGUUAUAUGCUAAUAGAAGAAGAUCAAAGCAAUUCUCUCUUUUUGGAGUAUAUAAGGAUAUCCCAGUUAUGUGGUUGAUCUGCUGGCUUGUUUGAGCUGGAAAUCAGGAGGUGGAAGGGUUCUAGUUGCUUGGAGAUCUGUGCUCUUUUUUGCUUGAUAUGGAGCUGCCAGUUAAAGAGGAAUGACAGAUCAUUUGAAGGCUAGGACAAGUAUUUGGGAAGUUAAAAUGGGAUUAUUUAGCGCUCUGUUUCUGGGGUCUUGUUUCAUCCUUCAUUCAUACUUUGAGAUCUUUUUAUACGUUGUUUAUGCUCCAGGAUUUAAGAUUUGAUUUUUCUUAUUUUAUUUGAUUUUUUUUUUUUUUUUUUGUGUGUGUGUGUGUAGUCCCCACAUACUUGAU